rnacentral:miRNA from 1 species
UGUGUUAAGCUGGUCUUUCAGA